rnacentral:rRNA from 1 species
GAUUAACGCUGGCGGCAUGCCUAAUACAUGCAAGUCGAACGGAAGCAGCAAUGCUUUAGUGGCGAACGGGUGAGUAACACGUGGGGAACCUACCUAUACGACGAGGAUAACUACUGGAAACGGUAGCUAAAACUGGAUAGGAUCAAUUGAGGCAUCUUGAUUGAUUUAAAGAUCCUUCGGGAUUACGUAGAGAUGGCCCUGCGGCGCAUUAGCUAGUUGGUGAGGUAACGGCCCACCAAGGCGACGAUGCGUAGCUGAGCUGAGAGGCUAAACAGCCACACUGGGACUGAGACACGGCCCAGACUCCUACGGGAGGCAGCAGUAGGGAAUUUUCGGCAAUGGGGGAAACCCUGACCGAGCAAUGCCGCGUGAACGAUGAAGGUCUUCGGAUUGUAAAGUUCUGUGAUUGGGGAAGAAUGGUAUUCUUAGGGAAUGAGGAGUACAUGACGGUACCCGAUUAGAAAGCCCCGGCUAACUAUGUGCCAGCAGCCGCGGUAAUU